rnacentral:rRNA from 1 species
UACAGAGGGGGCAAGCGUUGUUCGGAAUUACUGGGCGUAAAGGGCGCGUAGGCGGCCUGCUAAGUCGAGCGUGAAAUCCCUGGGCUCAACCCAGGAACUGCGUCCGAUACUGGUUGGCUUGAAUCCGGGAGAGGGACGUGGAAUUCCAGGUGUAGCGGUGAAAUGCGUAGAUAUCUGGAGGAACACCGGUGGCGAAGGCGACGUCCUGGACCGGCAUUGACGCUGAGGCGCGAAAGCCAGGGGAGCAAACGGG